rnacentral:ncRNA from 2 species
CAAUUGUUAUAUGACUGACGGAAAUAGUGGGGUUUACCACGUGAAGUAUAACAAAAGAAUGCCGACCGUCUGGGCGAAGAGU